AAAUAUCAACCCCGAGUCCAUUCCCCGAGUGUUAGUCUUUUUUGUUUACUCCCGACCCCGAGUUCAUUCCCCGAAUUUUAGUCUUUUUUUUUGUUUACUCCCGACCCCCGAGUCCAUUCCCCGAGUUUUAGUCUUAUUUGUUUACCCCGACCCCCGAGUCCAUUCCCCGAGUUUUAGUCUUUUUUUGUUUACCCCGUUCCCCGUUUGAGGGCACUAAAACUCGGGGAAAAUGACGACCCCCGAGUCCAUUCCCCGAGUUUUAGUUCCCCGACCCCCGACCCCCGAACCCCGAGUUUUAGUGGUGCCCUGUAUUUUGAAAUUUGUGUUGUCCUGAUAAAGCUAACUCUUGUUUGUUUAGUUGGCCUAAGUAUUCCAUCAGUGAAUUGUGUUCUUCACAGGACUCGAGAACUUCAAAAGUUCAAUAUACUAUAAGAUCGGCCAAAGUCAUUACAUUCUCAGAGGACAAGGAUGUAGUAUUAUCCACAAAAAAUGCUAUGCUGAAGAAAACCAGGCCUGCAAUCUCUGCUCAUUAGCCAGUAAUAGCAAAAAGGUCUUAUCCAAAUACUACUAAUAGUCAACGGGGCUCAAAAAAAAGUACAACCUCACUAAAAUUUUCAGCUGAUGGUUCUACAAUGGGUAACUCCAAUUGCAUAAGAAAGUAACAAUCUUUUACAAGUGUGACACACAAAUUUUUUAUAGCUAGAAAAAGAAUGCAAAUUCUAGAUGAAGACUUAGAAGCCUUAACCUAAAUGAAGAAGAAUACUUUAAUUCGUUUUUGGAUGACGAAGAUAUUAUUCCUGGAACUCCUCAGCAAUCAUCAAAACGCAAACGACCAUAUGAUUGUGACAGCGCUCGUGACAAGGCUCGGACUCAAAAUAACGACUUAGCUAAGGACAAGGAAAGUACGUCAGAUUCAACACCAACUGGCAACAAUAAAAAAAGGUCGUGGAGUAAGAAUCACGAAUCUCAGAGGCAGUAUUCAGUAGAGACAAACAUUUUUGAAAACCCUCCUUCUUCUUUGGUGCAAAAGCGAUACACACAGUCGAGAUCAGUUAUAUCGGGAUAAGAAACGGAGUUCAGUCAUACUGAUUGGAAAGAGCAAGAUCCUACCCCUGAAAGUUCUUGGGCAAGCAAGGAAGAACUGAAAAAUUAAGUGAAAUUACUUAACGAGCAGAUACAGAGUUCUGUAAUUGAUCGGGAAAACGAGCGACAGCGCUACAUACAACAACUUGCCGAGAAGGAUGCGCUGAUUUUUCAGUUGCAAGAAGAAAUUCAAUCACUCAAUGAAACAAAUCCGCAAUGCUUGGCAAAAAGUCUUCAGGAAGGGUUGACGAUUCUUCAAGCAAUUUUAGAAAACUUAUCUUUACCAAGUACUCCGCAGCAGGCAUUUCGUCAUUGUCGUUCAACCGACAGAAGAGUAAUUGAAAUGAGUCAUCUAGUAAAGCUACAUACGGAUUAUAACACCAUGAUUAAUGCCAAUGCGCUAGCAACCGCUAUUACAUAUGGAAAGGUUGGAUAAAAAAAAAAGGAAAUGAGUAAAAUUAUUAAUGUGAUAAUGGAGGACUUUUGGGAUAUAAUAUUUAUGUCAAGCCACAGUUUAACUGGAAAAAAGGCACCCACUGAUAAAAGUAGCAAUCCUCCCAAGCCUGCAUUUCCAAAAGAAGAUGUUGAAGCCAUAACAAAAUUUACGGCCGAUUACUGGGAAACCCGACACAAGAUGGUGAUCGAUCCGUCAUUGGUGUCCCCAUGCUUAACUGCAAAACUUUUAAGUAAGCACACGGCUAAAAAGUCAAGAGAGAAGAUGUUGGCAGAGGAGGAAGUUGCAGAUUCAGAGUAAAUGAAUAAACAGUGCGUUUCUAGUCCAAUAUUUAUGCACUUAUAUGAUGACAUUUACAAUGUCCCUGUACGUAAUAUUUUUAGCAUUCACGUUCGUUUUUACAGUUUUUUCUAUUGUAUUUUAUAUAGUGUCACGUAUUUGAAAUUUCCGAAACACAAAGAAAUCUAUACCAAAUACAAAGAAUGUUCCAGUUUA
rnacentral:misc_RNA from 1 species